rnacentral:rRNA from 1 species
GGACGAACGCUGGCGGCGUGCUUAACCCAUGCAAGUCGAACGGAAAGGCCCUGCUUUUGUGGGGUGCUCGAGUGGCGACCGGGUGAGUAACACGUGAGUAACCUGCCCUUGACUUUGGGAUAACUUCAGGAAACUGGGGCUAAUACCGGAUAGGAGCUCCUGCUGCAUGGUGGGGGUUGGAAAGUUUCGGCGGUUGGGGAUGGACUCGCGGCUUAUCAGCUUGUUGGUGGGGUAGUGGCUUACCAAGGCUUUGACGGGUAGCCGGCCUGAGAGGGUGACCGGCCACAUUGGGACUGAGAUACGGCCCAGACUCCUACGGGAGGCAGCAGUGGGGAAUAUUGCACAAUGGGCGGAAGCCUGAUGCAGCAACGCCGCGUGCGGGAUGACGGCCUUCGGGUUGUAAACCGCUUUCGCCUGUGACGAAGCGUGAGUGACGGUAAUGGGUAAAGAAGCACCGGCUAACUACGUG